AGCUCAGUUGGUUAGAGCACCUGACUGUUAAUCCCAAAAGGAGAGAUUGUCGUUGGUUCAAGCCCAUCA
rnacentral:tRNA from 1 species